CGGCCCCGGCGAAAGGCUCGCCCGAGCCCGAGCUCGGUCUCCCCAACCCCAGGGGCCGCCUGGGAGCUCAUUAGACCGAGCCUGGGAUCAGGUGGACUCGGCCCACGGCGGGUAACGAGGCUCACUGAGCCUGAGCCGCCCAGGCGGGCACCUGCUCCGGCCCUGGGCCGCGGGGUCCGGGCCUUCAUCUCCAGGGACCGCAGCCUGCAGGGCGUGCCCUUUCAUUCAGAAACUCCAGCUUUGGUUCAUCUGUUCAUUGGGGUCUGGUUUCCUGCUUCCCUCUGAAUACCAGCCAUGCCUUGGGGCCAGACAGAAGAUUCUUCCCACCCCGGCUCCAGAAAAAUCCCAGAGCAUUUGGUAACAGAGAGGCCAAACCACGAAGUGCAAACACUGGGCAGGCCGUCUCCAGCCCAGGCCCAGCUGGAACCAGCAGCCUUGGGCAAGAACGCAGCAGAGAAGAGGAACAAGGCUGUUGGGGGGAUGGAACUGGACGGUGUGGGUUGGGCUUUGCCAUUGCCUGAGGGGCGCCCCUGCUCACCUCUGUGUACCCAGAGCCUGCUAUGUCCGCCCAGCUGGGUGACCCCUUG